UUUAGCUGAAGUUAAUGAAAUGUAAAUUAGUUGAAAUCAUAUGUAUGUAAAAAUCUAUAUGUAUAUGUGAUUUCAUAUAUAUAUGUGAAAUAUAUAUGAAGGCGUAUCUAUAGGAAAUAUCUAUCUGGCUUCAAAGGAAGGAGGCAGGAGGGUAUGGAAUGAGGUAUUGAAUGAGGACAGCUUGCCACUGGAUGGGGAGAAGGAGCAGCUGGUAAUGAAGGUCGUCUGUUUGCCACUGUGGAUUAGGAAUAGGGGCCGUCAGAAGGGAAGUGACUACCCUGUGUCUCUUUUCCAUUUUCUGAUGUUCUCUGUGAGUGUUCGAUGCAGCAAGAAGGUUCUGAGAGUCAGAGUCUUGGCAAGCUGGAGAAUGAGUGGAGGAGCCCAGGGAAUGUCUGGCAUGGAAAGAAAGCAGAAGUCAUUGGUCAUAUCCUGUAUCCCGCAGAAUUCUUCUGAGGAAAUAAGACAUGAUGAAUGGAUCAAAAUCCUAACCUCCACUUCCCAUCUUCCUCCUAUCCUGCAAGUGCUUUUUUUUU